GGAAGGCAGUUCCAGACCUUGGGGGCAGCAGAGGAUAAAGAGCGACCUCCCACUGAACAAAGGUUGACUGGAGGCUUUGACAGAAUGGAAGUCUCAGCUGCUAGGAUGUAGAAUGCACAUAAGGGAGUGAGGUCAGAUGAGAUGGGAGAGGUGGGAGAGUGCGUGGAGUAGAGAGAGAGGUGGGAGAGUGCGUGGAGUAGAGAGAGGUGGGAGAGUGCGUGGAGUGGAGUAGAGAGAGAGGUGGGAGAGUGUGUGGAGUAGAGAGGUGGGAGAG